AGCUCCAAUAGCGUAUAUUUAAGUUGUUGCAGUUAAAAAGCUUGUAGUUGGAUCUUGGGUCGUAAAGGUCGGUCCGCCUACUCGGUGUGCACCUGCCCUUCCGUCCCUUUUGUCGGCGGCGUGCUCCUGGCCUUAGUUGGCUGGGUCUCAGCUCCGGCGCUGUUACUUUGAAAAAAUUAGAGUGCUCAAAGCAAGCUUAUGCUCUGAAUACAUUAGCAUGGAAUAACGUGAUAGGAGUCUGGUCCUAUUGUGUUGGCCUUCGGGACCGGAGUAAUUAUUAAUAGGGACUGUCGGGGGAAUUCGUAUUUCAUUGUCAGAGGUGAAAUUCUUGGAUUUAUGAAAGACGGACCACUGCGAAAGCAUUUGCCAAGGAUGUUUUCAUUAAUCAAGAACGAAAGUA
rnacentral:rRNA from 1 species